AUUGAACGCUGGCGGCAGGCCUAACACAUGCAAGUCGAGCGGAUGAGGGGAGCUUGCUCCCUGAUUUAGCGGCGGACGGGUGAGUAAUGCGUAGGAAGCUGCCCGAUAGAGGGGGAUACCAGUUGGAAACGACUGUUAAUACCGCAUAAUGUCUACGGACCAAAGUGUGGGACCUUCGGGCCACAUGCUAUCGGAUGCGCCUACGUGGGAUUAGCUAGUUGGUGAGGUAAUGGCUCACCAAGGCGACGAUCUCUAGCUGGUUUGAGAGGAUGAUCAGCCACACUGGAACUGAGACACGGUCCAGACUCCUACGGGAGGCAGCAGUGGGGAAUAUUGGACAAUGGGCGCAAGCCUGAUCCAACCAUGCCGCGUGUGUGAAGAAGGCCUUCGGGUUGUAAAGCACUUUCAGCGAGGAGGAAGGGCAGUAAGUUAAUACCUUGCUGUUUUGACGUUACCGACAGAAUAAGCACCGGCUAACUCUGUGCCAGCCGCCGCCGUAAUAC
rnacentral:rRNA from 1 species